rnacentral:lncRNA from 1 species
CAGAAUAUAAUAAACAUAAACUUAGUAAAGUUAUUACAUCAAAGUUCUUCUAAUCCCAGGUACGUAGACCUUUAAAUGUUCAUUACAUGAUAAUUUAAUAUUUACAAACAUGUAAACUAUCUAUUACAUCAACUCCCAGCUAUUCUGUUACUUUUCCUUUUCCCUUGUCCUUUCCAGACCCUUCUGCCCGAGUCUGAUCAGCUGAAAACAUUUAUAACAAAACAAGUAUGAGCAUUUAAUUGCUCCUCAAGUAAUAGCAUUCUUUAAGGCUCAACAAGAAAUAAAUGUUUUCUUUGAGGCACGCUUUGACAAUGAAUCAAAACUGUAAAGCAAUAAAUCUCGAAUCAUUCACAUUUCUGGAAUAUCAUAACAAUAUUGAAUAACUGAGAGGUUUUAAGACCAUGAACAUAUUUUUCUUUUCUUGAAAAGGUUCAAUCAGAAAUAUUAUCCGAUGAACCGUCUUAUCUUACGGGCACGUAGGGUGAUCGGCCCUUUAUGCCCUGUAUUGAUCAAUACUAUCUUUUCCAGAACAAUUUUCAUGUUCUACAUCACCACUCCCAGAGUGCAAUAAAAAUAUCCCAUUUCUGGGUAUGUUCAUUCUCAGUUUUAGAUUCCAACUACAACAAUAUAGCUGGAUAGCUUAAAUCAUGGCACAACAAUAAUAUUUCAAAACUAAAUAUAAAGAAAUUAAAAUAUUUUACAUCUGUGUCUGGCCAGAAGGAAUGGCUCAGACUCCUUUGCAACAUGUUCCUGCAUGUUGAAUUGCAUUAGAUAUACAUGAUAAUACAUUACUCAAUCUGUUGAAGCUGAUUGGAAUAAAAAGAUUAUUCAAUCUUAUAAUAUUCAAAAAUAAGGAAAGACAGUUCAGAAAUUAGAGAACCUGUCAACAUAUGAAUAAUCUCAUAAUACUUGCUCAUUAAAGAGUUAGAUUUAGAUACUUGCCUUGUUUGUAGUCUAUUUGUACAAUUUCAGCUUAACUUGUGUAUUCUCAUAGAUCCUACACAAUUAUUUGCAUUUACAAACAUAUUAGCUAAGUAGACAAGUCAUUUAGCUUGUAUGUUCACAUAUCACAUAAGCACAGUGAUCAUGUUUUUAGUUUAUAUCCUAUAUUUGGAAUAUUUUUAUACAUUUUUCAAAUAUCUCACCCAUGUUCUUAUAACAAUUAUUUUUCUUUUAUAGGGUCUGACAUAAGUUCUGCUCAUUGGGUUUAGAUCAUAUUUCUUUUACUUCCUUCAUUUGUCAUAAAUAUACUUUGCAAUUUUCCUUAUAAUUAGGUAUUCAAGGUGAACACCUAAGGUAUUUCAUGUUUCAUGAUUCAUAGAUUCAUUCUUAUAUGCCAGUUCGCUACAAAUCCUUGUUUUAUCUUAAAAUGUUUAACCAGCCUUGUUCAAUUACUUAUGAUAACUCUUAUUAUUGAGUCUACUAAAUUACUUAUUUACCUACUAGUAUGCUUAUACGAAACAGUCAUUACUGUAGCUGCUAAACAACAGCAGUUAGUUUUCAUUCUCUUUGUUAUGGUUACAGGAAUUAGCUAUACGUUGCCACCAUUAUGCAGCAGAUCCCUCCUUUGUUGCCAAUCUUGUUUAAGUUACGAUCUUAUUAUAUAUUAUGCUUAUAUUUCUAUUUGAAAUUUAGAAGUUAAGACUUACAAGUAAACACUCAAAUUACAACACAUAGCCAAAAAUGGCUUACCAACGCAGCAAUAGCAGCUGCUCGCUACUGCUCACUGCUGUUAUAACACAGCAGACCCUUUUCCCCAAUCCCUUGUUUUAAGAGAUCAAAUUGGUGGUGUACUCACCCCUUUAAAAAAGUAUUAGUCAACAGAUAUGGGUUAAUACAAUUAACAUCCAUAAGAGUAAGAGAGAACUCCUUGUAUUUCGCCCAAAACAGUCAACUGUUGCUGCCGUUAGUCAGCAGCCCCCCUCUCUAAAUGACUACCUUGUUAAACUUUUAUUCCUUACAUUCUUGGCUUGUUUAUAUGGAGUUUUGAAAAUAACAUAAUUGUUACCUCCACUAAAGGUUAUUAAGAUAACCUAUUAACAUCAACUACUGCUAUUUCCCACUGCUGGCUAAGAGCAACAGUUUCUUCCCUUCCAUGCUUAACACUUCAGCCAUCAUUUCUUUUUUUUUUUAUCAAUAUAGUGAUCCACAAUACAAAACAGUGUUCUAGACAUUACUCAGCUGCUAUAUACCUGGAACAUUAGUUGGGCAAACUUGAGGGUCCAACUAUAAAUAUAAACUCAAGAGAAGACUUUAAAUCGAACAACCAUUGCUGCUGCCAAAGCAGUAACUUUGCACACUAGGCUUCCACUAAUUUCAUUUUUCUAAACUUUGUACCAUAGAUAAGUUUACAUCAACUCUAGAUAUAAUACACAGAGUAUAUGGAAGUAUUUUGAGCUAAUUGAGUCCCUUCAUGCAGUCUUUAUAUACUGCCCAAAACAGAGUGUCCAAGUUACAUGACAUACUAAGUCUAACUUUUCAAUGUUAAUUUAAAAUUUGAGCUUUGUUCUAGCUUGACACACACCAACCCUCUAAUUAGCAUCACAUAUGAAUAAUAAAUUAAGCCCAAGCUCUAAUUCUACCAAAAUUCUGAUUUUAGAUAAAACAGUUCAUUGAGGAAUUUUAUCAAACACUUACAGACAUUGUUUUGCAACACAAGUGUCAUAGCUAUUUAGUUUUUGUAAAUCCCCAGUUAAGCCCCCUUAUUACUCUACUGCCACCUAUCUCCUUGUGCCUAAAAUAUAUCCAUAGCCAUCAAUUACACAGAGCCACAUACAUGUCAAUUAAUUGAUAAUCUAAUUAAUUUUAUUCUCUCCAUAACAUGCAAUUCAUUUGAUAAACACAUAUCUAUAUAUAUCACAUAGAUUUCGCUCCGGUUUAAGCAAACCUAUUGACCAACUUCAAUUUUAACAAAAACAAAAAAAAAUAAGAGGAAGAACUAAAAGUACAAUUAUUAAAUUCGUACCUUCUGUUUGAUGUGUUCUCGCUCAACUCACAGCUCCUAGCUACAGUAGUUCUUCUUCCUUAAUAACCCCCAAAUUUGGGUAUGCUUCUAAUUCAUAAUUGUGCAACCCAGCUCGUAGAAAUUACAGAGUUUUGAUUUUUUUUGCAUACUGCUAUUUGUGUGUUACUUAAGAGAAAAACUGAACUUAAGAGUUGAAGCUCUGCUCUAUAUAAACACCAAAUAUGCAAAUCACGUAAUAGGUUAUAGGCAAGCUGAGUUAUUUAAGCUAAGUUUAUGAUUAAAUGACAGCUCAUGCUAAACUAAUGGGUCAUUUCCUGAUUAAAUGCCACGUAACCCACAUUAAGCUGAGUUUCAAUUGUUCUACUGCUAAGCUUAGAUUUAAGGCAGUGUUUGGCAAGAACAAGCAAUUACCUCCCUUUUUAUACAUAUUUCACCACAUAUAAUGUAUUUUAGAUAUAAUAAAAUGCAUUUCAAAAUUUUGGAUAGAAUAUCCAUAAAUCAUUUUUAUCAAAGUGGAGAGUAUUUAUUAAAUAUAAAAAAUAUUAAUCAUUAUACUUGACAUAUCCCCACAUCACAUAUUACCCUGCACAUGAUAAUAUAAUAACACAUACAGAAAAAAAUAUUCCAGUAAAAUCUUAUUUUAUUUACUCAGGAAAAAUGUGAUUCGCUAUAUUUUCCCCCCUUAUAAAGAUUCCGUCCUCGGAAUCGAAAAGUACAAUUACCUGAACAAUUGUGGAUAAUUCUUUUUCAUUCUUUCCUCUAACUUCCACGUUGCUUCUUCAAUGUUGUGGUUUCUCCACAAUAGCUUUACUGAAGGUAUUGUCUUAUUUCACAAAAUUUGCUCUUUUCUAUCCAAUAUUUGCACAAGAACCUCUUCGUAGGUUAAAUCUUUCUCAAAUUGGAUAGGCUCAUAUUCGAUCACAUGUUUAUAAUCUGGCUUGUAUAGUCGUAAAACUGACACGUGAAACACAUUAUGAACAUGCUCUAAUUCCGGAGGUAAAGCUACUUCAUAAGCUACCUCUCCCACCUUUCUCAAGACUUCAAACGGUCCUAUAAAACAAGGACUUAACUUUCCUUUCUUUCCAAAAUGUAUCUUCCCUUUCCAAGGAGAUACUUUAGAAACACAUGUGAUCCGAAUUUAAAAUCUCUUUUCUGUCUGUGCAAAUCUGCAUACUUCUUCUGGCGAUCUUGAGCAGCUAUUAGUCGCAUUCGUAUCAACUUAACUACUUCUGCAGUUUGUUGUACCAGUUCGGGACCUAGUAGACGACGUUCGCCCACUUCAUCCCAACACAAGGGUGUUCUGCAUUUUCUUCCAUAUAACGCUUCAUAAGGCGGCAUGCCUAUACUAGCGUGAUAGCUAUUGUUGUAUGCAAAUUCUAUCAGAGGUAAGUGAUCAUCCCAACUUCCCUUGAAGUCCAUAACACAUGCACGUAGUAUAUCCUCCAGAGUCUGUAUUAUUCUUUCACUCUGUCCAUCUGUCUGUGGAUGAUAGGUUGUACUUAAUCUUAACUGUGUCCCCAGAUGUUCUUAUAAACUUCUCCAAAAAUUUGAAGUAAAUCUUGGAUCUCUGUUCGAAACAAUGGAUACUGGCACUCCAUGUCGGGAAAUAAUCUCCUUGAUGUAGAGAUUAGCUAACUGAUCUAGAUUAUAUCUAAUCUUGAUUGGCAAAAAGUGUGCUGAUUUUGUUAAUUGAUCAACUAUAACCCAAAUCGCAUCAAAUCCCUUUUGCGUCCUCGGAAGUCCUACCACAAAAUCCAUUGUGAUAUGCUCUCAUUUCCAUUCAGGAAUUUCCAAUGGCUGUAAAAGACCACUAGGUUUCUGAUGUUCAGCUUUUACUCAUUGACAAGUUAAACAUCUACUGACAUACUCUGCAACCUCUCUUUUCAUACUUGGCCACUAGAAAUGUUGUCAGAGGUCUUGAUACAUUUUGGUACUGCCAAGAUGAAUUGUGUAUCUUGAACAAUGAGCUUCUUGUAAUAUUUCUUCUUUCUGUUCCAGCUUUGUUAGAACCGAAAUUCUUCCUUCAAAUCUAAUAAUUCCAUCCUUAUCAAUAUUAAACUUUCCUUCUUUUCCUGAUGAGAUUUUCUCUUUCAAUUUCUCAUAUUCCCCAUCUUUAAAUUGCGCAUCCUUUAUUCUAUCCAAAAUAGUUGAGCAAGUCUCUAUUGAAUACAACUUUUCAUCUGACUCUUGUGGAAGUUUAAUUUAUAAUUCCAUUCUUUCCAUAGUUGUUACUAACCCAUCUUGAGUUGUCAGCAACAUCAAUUUCUCGCGACCUUUCUUGCUUAAAGCAUUAGCUACCACAUUUGCCUUACCUGGGUGAUAAAGGAUUUCACAAUCAUAAUCCUUAAUCAAUUCCAGCCAUCUUCUUUGUCUCAUGUUUAGCUCCUUCCUUGUGAAAAUAUAUUUCAGACUUUUAUGAUCUGUAUAUAUUUCACAUUUUUCACCAUACAAAUAGUGCCUCCAAAUUUUUAAAGCAAACACCACGGCUGUCAAUUCUAAAUCGUGAGUAGGAUACCCUUUCUCAUAAUCUUUUAACUAUCGUGAUGCAUAAGAAAUAACCUUCCAAUGUUGCAUAAGGACACACCCCAAACCUUUAUGUGAUGCGUCACUAUAUACCAUAAAAUUUCUUGUUUCGUCGGGUAAGGACAACACUGGAGCAUUACUCAAUCUUUUCUUGAGUUCUUGAAAACUUUCUUCACAUUUCUCAUUCCAUACAAAUUUAACUGUCUUCCUUGUCAGGUUAGUUAACGGGGUGGCUAUCUUUGAAAAAUCUUGAAUGAAUCUUCGAUAAUAUCCCGCUAACCCUAAGAAACUACGCACUUCAGUAGGCGUCUUUGGCUGUUCCCAGUUCAUAACUGCUUCCACUUUCACUGGAUCCACAAAUAAUCCAUCUUUGUCAAUCACGUGACCCUAAAAUUGAACUCUUUCUAGCCAAAAUUCACAUUUACUGAAUUUCGCAUAUAACUUUUCUUUUCUUAGUGUUUCUAACACGAUUCUCAAAUGGUUAGCAUGAUCAUUCUGUAUCUUGGAAUAGAUCAGAAAAUCAUCUAUGAAUACUACCACAAACUUAUCCAAGUAUGGUUUGAAUAUUCUGUUUAUCAUAUCCAUGAAUGCAGCUGGUGCAUUGGUUAAUCCAAAAGACAUAACCAAAAACUCGUAGUGACCAUAACAAGUCUGGAAAGCUAUCUUUGGAACAUCUUCAUCUCUUACCUUCAACUGAUGAUAUCCAGUUCUCAGAUCUAUCUUUGAAAAAUAUUUUACCCCUUUCAGUUGAUCAAAAAGAUCGCCGAUCAUGGGCAAAGGAUAUUUGUUCUUGAUCGUCACUUUGUUUAACUCUCUAUAGUCAAUACAAAGUCUUAACGACCCAUUUUUCUUCUUUACAAACAACACAGAUGUUCCCCAAGGUGACGUACUAGGUCGAAUGUAUUUCUUAUCCAGCAAUUCCUGCAAUUGUAUCAUCAAUUCCUUCAUUCCUAUAGGAGCCAUUCUGUAUGGUACUUUUGAAAUUGGUGUCGUACCAGGUACCAAAUCAAUAACAAAUUCUAUUUCCUUGUCUGGCGGAAGUCCUGGUAACUCAUCAGGGAAAACAUCUGCAAACUCAUUUACUACCACAAUGUCUUCUAUUCUCGCUCCUUUUUGCUGAGUGUCUAUCACAUAUGCGAGAUAACCCAUACAACCUUUUUGUAACAACUUCUUUACUUGCAUCAUCGUUAAGCAUCGUGACUGCUUUGAUGAUUUACUACCAUAAAACACGACCUUCGGUUGCUUUGCAGGUUUAAAACUCACAGAUUUUCUUUGGCAAUCGAUGGUUGCUCCAUGCUUGAACAACCAAUCCAUUCCCUAAAUAAUGUCAAAUUCCUUGAGUUGUAUCGGAAUUAGAUCUACUGUAAGUUCACGUUCUCCUAUCUUAACGCAACAAUCCCUAUAGAUAUGCUCUACAAGAAUCACUUCCUUAUUAGCCACUUCUAUAUUCAUGGGUAUUUCUAAAUUCAAUAAGGGCAUUUCUUUACGCUUAGCGAAUUCAUGUGAUACAAAAGAAUAGGUUGCCACAGAAUCAAAUAAUACGUAAGCAUUAAUAUUGUUGAAUGGGACAAUACCUGAAACCACAUCUUUAGAUGUUACCGCAUCCUUUGCCGCCAUAUUAAAGGUUCUGGCAGUUGGCUUAUUUGGUGUAUCUGUGCCAAUUGUAAGCGCUUUAGUGCCAUUGAUUCCUUUACCACUGCUUCCUCCCUUUGCUCCUUUCUUCGGACAAUUCCUGGCAAAGUGAUCCAUCGAUCCACAAACAUAACACCCAAAAUUUUUCUUUGGAUUUGGACAAUUAGGAGAAAUGUGUCCCUCCUGUCCACACUUAUAACAAACUGUCUGCCCUUUUAGACAAAUUUCCAAAUGAUUCUUUCCACAUUUCUUGCACGCUUCAAUUUUCUUCUUUUGCUGUCCACCUUGAACACUACUCGUGUUCCCAACAUUUUCCUUUUCUUAUUCCACUUGCUAGUACCCUCUGGUUUAACCAACCUUCAGACUGUCCUUUGUUCUUCUUAACUUUACUAUACCUACCUGCUGUUUCGCUUCCACUUUCUGCUAUUAUUGUUUUCUCAAGGAGAGCGGCAUAAGUUCCUAUCUGUAAUACUGACAACUUGUUGUAGAUCCAAGGCUUCAAGCCUAACUCAAAUUGUCUCGCUUUGUGUUCCUCUGUAUUCACUUGAUGUGGAGCGAAUCGUGCCAACUCAUUGAACUUGGCUGCAUACUCAGAUACAGUCAUAUCACCUUGUUUAAGAUUAAGGAAUCGAACUUCCAUUCUUCUUUGCAUUCCAGGAGGAAAAUAAUUUUCAAAGAAAAGUUUCUUAAAUUUGGACCACCUUAUUACACCUGUACCGGCUCUUGUUUUAUUCACUUCCCACCAAAAAUUUGCUUCCCCUUUCAGCAUAUAGGCAGCAAAUGAAGUUUUCUGCUCCCUACUUACCCUGGCUAUCUCAAAGACUUUCUCCAUUUCUUGAAUCCAUGACUGAGCCUCAAUUGGUUCGGUAGUCCCUCUAAACUCAGGAGGUCCUACACUUUUAAAAUCUUUGAAGCUAGUCAUACGAACAGUUGGUGGUGGUGGACCAUUCACAUCAGGUGGUGGAGCAUUCCUGUUCUGAAAAGCUUCCACCAUAAAACGUGCAAACUGCUGCAUAGGAUUCUCUUGGGCUUCAUUCCUAUUCUCAUUUUCAUUAUGAACCUCUUCAUUUCUAUUUUCAGUGUUAGGUUCCUCAUUAACAUUUCUUCGCACCCUAGGUACUCUUCCUCCUCUAAUUUUGGGUGGCAUUUUAUCUGUUUAAUGACAUUUAUUAUUAUUAAACCACUUAUUACAUGUACCUUCAUACAAAAUGUAAAGCAAUAACAUUCAUAACAAACAUAUUUAAUAUUAUCAUAUAUUAAGCAUGUUCUUACAUGUGCCUUGAUCAUUUUUAUCAUUGCAAACUCUUCUUGCUAUUACAUAUGUCAUAGCAUUCACAUUUACUAUUUACAUAACAUUGCUAGCAAAAGAUUUACAUAUACUAAUCCUUAACCACUAUCAGGUUAGGAUUUCCAAAAGAUAUCCCCAUAAAGCUACCAAAAGUGGGGUACAUUUACCUUCUACACCUACUAACACAUUUACCAUAUUUACAUACACAUGCCAUAUACAUCUCCAAACUGACACUCAAAUAUCCCUAUCCUGCACUUGAGUGAUAGAACGCACUCGCUCCUCUUCGGAAUUGGCCAUGACUCUGGCUCGCGAGAUGGAAUAUCUAGACUGUCCUAGCUCUAGAGGGUAAUUCCAGACAGCUGUCUGGACCCUCUUCAUAGAAUGAGCAUUUAAAAAACUCAUUAUUUCCUUUUGUCUCUUGCACUCAUCCAAUCGACUCUCCAAAUGGUGGAUAUAACCAUAAUAGGUCGUCAUCAUAUUCUCCAUUCCAUGUCGUUCUUCAUGCAAUCCCUGGAUUUGUUCUUCUAGAUUUUGAACCUUAUCUUCAGAUACCUGAAGUCUAGCUAACAAUUCGUUGUUCUGAUUCAUCAAGUAAUGGAUCAUUGCUCCUAGCUGUAUUUGUAAAGACCCCCAAACCCGGAUACUUGAAACAUGAAUUCGGUGCUUCACGAUACCAUUUCUAUGAGCGGAAUAAUACUAAUAAUAAUAACAAUAAUAUAAAACUUAAACUUAAUUAUACAUCAGAGUCUAUUUUCCCAGGUACGAGACCUUUAGUCAUUCAUUAUAUGUCAUAAUAUAUAAAUAUAUAUCAUAGUCUUCAUAAUCUAAAACUAUUACAUAUAGUACCACAAAUCUUAUUUGGUUAGCUUUCCUUUUCCCUUGCUUUGGCAUGAGCUUUCUGGUUCUUCACACUUAGCUAAAAACAUUUAAAUUAAGCAAGGAUGAGCAUUUGAGUGCCCAACAAGUAUUAUAUAUAUAUAUAUAUAUAUAUAUAUAUAUAUAUAUAUAUAUAUAAGCUGAAAGAAUUUAAAUGUUUUCUUUAUAAUACCCUUCUACAACAAGUCAAUAGUUGUGAAGUAAUCUGUACCAAUAAUAAUAACAUAACAACCCUCUUUCAAAUUUUAGAAACUCGUAUUGACUAUAUAUAAGGUUAUAGUGACAUACAAUGAACAUUAUUUUCAUUUUCGAAAGGGUUAAACAGAAAUUCAUCUGUAAACCGUCAUAACUUACGGACACUGGGGUGAUCAUCCCGUUGUGCCCUGCAUUGAUCAAUACUACAUUACAAGAACGAUGUUAUCGUUCACUCUGUCUGCUUUGGGCGCAUAAAAGUUUUUCCCAUGUAUGGGAUGUUCAUACCUGUCGGGUUUUCAUAACAAAUGUCUUAUCUUGUUCAAUAAUAAUCUAUAAUUCAAUAUAUAUAUAUAUAUAUAUAUAUAUGGGUAAUUGACAAGGUAUAUCAAUAUGUGAUUAAAUACAAUGAUUAUCCAAGUGGGGACACUUGUAUAACCAUUUAUAGAAAUUAACGAACAGAAUAUAUAUCUACAUUAUCAUAUACUAACAUGUUGAUAAUCAAUGAGCGUAUAUAAUAUAGGUUUAACAAUCUGUACAUUAAUAAUAAUAAUUCUGAACUUCUUACUUCUGUCCAUUGCAUAAAGAAAAUGCAAAGGUAGGAAACUUGCCUGAUACGCUGCUUACACUUUGCAACUUAGUUUUAUCUUUUAUGAAAACACCUAUCAGUAAUAAAGUCAUUUUACUUAUUAGAAUUACAUCAUAUCACAUAAUACUGCUUAUUGCAGUCAGCACAUUCCUAAUCACAUUGUCACAUAACCUUAACAACCAUUGAAUCACAAAUAAACAGUUAACUAAUCAAAUUAUCUAAGUCCAGAUCAAUUUCUGAAACAUGUCGGUCUACCGACAGCUUUAUCGAGUAAAUAUCGAGUCUAAGACUCUAUCUCAAAGUUCAACAUCCGUAAAUAUCAGUCAUAUAAUUUUUUAAAAGACUUAUAAAAAUUUUUAAAUAAUUAUUAUCUUUUAUCAUAAUUUUUGAAAUAUCAGAAUCAUUAUUAUAUGACUUAAAUAUCAAACAAUUCUAUUAUCAUUAACAUUUAAUCAAUAUUAAAUUAUUAAUGAAACCAUUGCCAAAAUAUUAAAGUUAUGUAUAAUAACUCAAAAUAUUUUUAAAACAUUUAUAUUACCCUUAAAUUAUUUUUAAAACAUUUAAAAUCAUUAUUAAAUAAUUACCAUUAAUAUUUAAAUAUUAAUGUUCUAUUUAUCCAAAUAUUAAAAGUCAUUAAUUAUAACUUCGAAUAUUUUUAAUUCAUUUAUAUCCUUUUUUUAAAUGAUUUUUAAAUUAAUAAAACUUUUUUUUAACUAUUUAUUUAAUAUAAUUAUUAAAUAAAUUCAAUAUCAUUAAUAUUAACUUAAUAUCAUUAAUAUUAAAUUAUUAAUGAAACUAUCCUUUAAAUAUUAAAAGUUAUAUUUUAUAACUUAAAAUAUCUUUAAACACUUUAUUUCCAUUUAAAAUGAUUUUUAUAAUAUUAAAAUCAUUUUAAAACUAAUUUAUUUAAUAUAAAUAUUCAAUAACUUUAAUAUCAUUAAUAAUAAUUAAUUAAUGAAUUUAACCAUUAAAUAUUAAAAUUUAUAUUUUAUAACUUAAAAUAUUUUUAAAUACCUUAUUAUUAUUUAAAAUAAUUUUUAAAAUAAUUAAAUCAUUUUUAAUUUAAUUAUUUAAAUUCAUUUAAUAAAUAACUUAAUUAUCAUUAAUAUUAAAUUAUUAAUGAAAAUUAUCACAUAAUAUUAAAAGUUAUUAAAAAUAACUUAAAAUAUUUUCUUAUAUCAUAAUAUAAUUUUUAAUGACUUUUCAAGUAUUUAAAUUAUUUUUAAAUAAUUUAUUUAAUAUUAUAAUUAAAUAAAUUAAAUAAUUUAUAUAUUCCAAAAAUAUAAAAUAUUUCUGAAAUAUAUUCAAAAUAAUUAAAAUAUAUUUUUUGGACAUUAAAAUAAUUUUUAAUAAUUUAUUUUGUAUUUUUAAUAAUUUAAAUAUAUUUUUCCAUAAUUAUUUAAUAAAAAUAUGAUUUUUAAUUAGAAACUGUCGCUAAAGGGUGCCUCUAGCGACAUAACUGUCGCUAUAGGUGUUCUUGAGUUGUUCUUCCUUAAACCCAGAAAUCAUGUCAGAGGUUGAGCUAGCUACUUUGACCGAGCUUAGAUUCGUGUGUGAUGUGUUUCUGGGAAACUUGUUGAUCAAAUCGUGUAGUGUUACUGUAAGACUACAAGAUCCAGCAACAACAAUAUUCAUAACAUGCAUUAAUUGAAACAUUUAAUCCCUCAAAGUAGCUGUCAGAGGCUGUUCUUCAAUUCUGGAAACCCAGAAAUGAAGAACAGAUCGAGGGUCACAUUUUGAGCCUCCACUACGUUCUGAUCUCGUAACAUUUUUGUGAUAUAAUGGUUCUAGAUUGUAGAAUACAUGUAAUACUACAGAUCCAUUACCAAAAAUCAUUAAAAAAAACAACAGAUCUAGCAGAUACAAUUCGGUCAAACUACUGUCAGAACUAAGUCUCAAGAUUUCUGGAAAUUUUCCAGAAAACACAAUCGUGAUCGUGGGUCCAGGUUUGACCAAAUAUAUCUUUCACUCUAAUGAUGAUUUAUGUGAUCUAAAAGCUUUAGCUUGUAUCUAAUAUACCAUUCUACAAUAUUGAUACAACAACAGAAGCCAAAAAACUAACAACAAAAAGAUCUGGGCCCAUAAACUUGCUGUCAGAGCGUUCUGGGCAAGUUCAUGGCUGCCCAGAUUUCUACUAGUCAACAUCGGUCAACGUUGUUUGACAACGAAUAACAUGCAAUCUGUAACUGAUUUAAGCUUUAUUCUUGAGCCAGAUCAAAGAGAAUAUACCAGGCUACAAAUACAAUGCUUUAAACAAACAAAACAGUAAACGAACUGAGAUCUAUGGGACCUGACAUUAGGUCGUCAGACCAUAUUUCUCAGUUUUCCAGAUUUUCUUAAAACUCAUAUUUGAAUACUUAGAUGUUAUAGAUCUGUAUACUACAAACCCAGAUCAUCAAAAUAGGCUAUAAACAACACAAUACAACAUCAAAUCAUAACAUUUAACACAAAAGUUUUGGACAGAUUUCAAGGUAGAGUUUUAUACCUUCUAUGCUUAAUUUCUGAUUUUGUGUUGCUGAUUUGUUUAUGUUGAACGUGGGGCUGUGUUUGGGAGUAAUAUAGCAACAAAUUUCGUGGGUUUUUGUGAGAGGAGCUCUUGGUUAGGUGUUGGACAAAUUUUUAGUAACCAAAUGCAUUUUCUCUCUCUCUCAAUCUAUAUAUAAACCAACAAGAUGCAUGUAUGGGGUGUUAAAGGACUGAUUUGUUGGCAUUUUUGAGUCACCAAGAUUUGGUAUAAGUUGGCCAACAACUCUCAUCUUGUAUAGAUUUGCAAGCAACAUAAAAAAUGUGACAAAAGGGCUUUUUGGUCAUUUUUAAAAUACAAUUAAUGGCAUUCUUAUCAUUUGCACAAACCCUUAGGGUUUGACCCUUAGGGUUCAACCCUAAGGUUUAGCACUUUGGCUUAAUUAAUUUUUAGCAACUACGGUUAGUAAAAUAUAAAAUUGAUUUUAGUUUCUAAAAUUUUGAAAAAUUAAAAUUGUUAAUUACAUUAAGCUAGUAAUUAUAUUAUACAGGGACAUUAGGGUUUAUUAUCAUCAAACUUAACUAACCUUGCCAAUUUGGCAAUUAGGGUUUAAGAUUUUAGUAAUUAGGGUUUCAGAAAUAUAAUUAGGGUUUUAUAAUUCAAAUUAGGGUUCUAAUCAUUAGGGUUUUAAUUUACUAUUUAGGUUUACCUUAAUUAGUAAUUAAAGUAUAUCAUACGUGUUAUUAAUCACAGUAACACAAUUUCUGACAGAUAAAAUUCUCCGGUUUAGGUUUCCAAUUAGGGUUUCUAAUAUCAGAAAUUCAAAUCUAAAUUAGGGUUUGACAUUUAUAAUUAUGGUUCCCUAAUUAGCAUAUCAUUAUGUAACACAUAACAUAAAUCAUAUAACAAAGUUAUAUAACAGUCUUGAAUUUACCCCUUUAAAUUGAAAAACAGGGUCAAAUCAAUUAAUGCUAGGGUUUGGUCAAUAUACACCAUAAUUGACCAACCAUCUACAGUACGUACAUACAGUACAUAUUUAUAGCACUGAAAAAUCAAAAUAAUAUAAUAUUAUAAUAUUAUUCUCAUGUCUUGAUCAAAACCCAGAUUUAGGGUUUAGAUUCCAUAUCUGAUUUAUCUGCCAUAAUUAACAUUCUAAAUUAAGUUAAAAUAAUUAACUUAAUAUCCUGAACAAAAUUCAUAUAAUGAAAUAAUCAUUAUAAUUAUUCUAAAAUCCUUUCAUAUAUUAUUUAAAUAAUAUAUGCUUAUACUUUCAUAGAAAAUAAUUAAUAAAAGCAUUUCCAAUAAGGAUUUAAUUAGUAUAAAAAUAUAAUUGAUAAUAAUUAAUAAUUCUAAAAUAAAUUUAUUUGCAAUACUUAAUGUAAUAAAUAAAUUUUAUUUAUCACACAUAUAAAUAUAUACAUAUUACCUUGGCACAUUACCCAUAUUUAUUUUAAUAAAAAAAAAAAAUUAUACGCAAAAUUUAUGAUUUAUUUAUAUAGAAAAUAUCGGGUUGUCACAUUCACCCUCCCUUAUAAAGAUUCCGUCCCCAGAAUCACCACUUUAAAACCUACACAUACCAGGGCACAUAGCAUACAAAAUCUUCACAAGUAGAUCUCGAUCUUCUUUGAUCGAACUGAUCUUUAACUAUUCACAUAAAGCUUGUCUUUCUGAUUAAACGGAAAUUUGAUUUCUAAAAGAACUCAAAUUCCUCCUUCAAAAUUUCUUUAUAAAAUAAUUUACUAUAUAUAGGAAAAUCAUAUAUACGAAAAUAAAAGUUAUUCGAAUAUUACCUGGAACUGCAUUGUCAGCUGCCACCGUGUCUUGGACCGUCAUGUUGAAGACCCUUGAUGUUGUCUUUGUUGAUUUGUUCGAUGUCGUUGGUCCCGUGAUUGCUAACGUCCCACUACCCUUACCAGUACUCACACUACAUGCCUCCACCCUCCUGUUUGGACAAUCCUUCACCCUGUGCUCCAUUGACCCGCAGAUAAAACAACCACUGUGCAUUCUAGGAUUGGGGCAGUUGGGAGAGAUAUGACCCUCCUGCCCGCACUUAUAAUAGACAAACUUUCCUUUCAAACAUUCUCCUGAGUGGUUCGUUCCACAUUUGCCACACUGCACCGCUGGCUUCUUCAUUCCCUCUUGCUUCACCUGAACGUUCCCAAAGUAAUUUCCCUUCCACUUUCCAUCAUUACCACUCCUGCUUCCACUAUUAAUUCUCACCUUCUCAGCACCCUCGACCUUACCCUUGUUCUUCUUUUCCCUGUUGUAGAGGCUCAUAGCCUCACUUCCCACCUCAGCAAUUAUCGCCUUCUCCAUGAGUGCUGCAAAUGUUGGGAUCUACAACACUGCCACCUUAUUAUAGAGCCAGGGUUUUAAUCCCAGCUCAAAUCUCCUAGCCUUCCUAGCCUCCGUAUCGACUUGAUGCGGAGCAAACCUAGCUAACUCAUUAAAUUUCGUGGCAUAUUCUGCAACAUUCAUAUACCCUUGCUUCAACUCCAGAAACUCACCUCCAUCCUAGAUUGCAUACUAGCUCAAAAAUAAUUCUCAAAAAAUAAAGACUUAAACCUAUCCCAAGCAACUACACCUGCUCCAGCCCUCACCUGAUUUGCUUCCCACCAGAAAUUCGCCUCACCCUACAUCAUGUAGGUGGCAAAAGUGGUCUUUUGCCCCUCAGCUACCCUAGCUAUUACAAACUCCUUCUCAAUUUCCCUAACCCAAGUUUGGGCUUCUACAGGGUCAGUUGUACCUUUGAAUUCCGGCGGUCCUACAGCCUUAAAGUCUUUAAAAUUCGCUAAGUGAUUACCCGGCUGGUUUCCUGCGACUGGUAUUCCUUGUUGCAUAGCUUGAGCUACCAUAUUCGCAAAUUGUUGCAUUGGGUUCGCUUGUUGCUGUCCCUCAACAUUGUUGACAGACUCUUCUACCCUUUGGUUUCGAGUUUGACGUCUUGGCGGCAUUAUCUGGUUAAGUAAAACCAUAAAUUAACUUACAUUCUAAACCUUAUCAUAUAAGUUUAAUAUAUUAAACUUGUUUCAUAACUCAAACUUUGAUUCAUAUUCAUUCAUUGAUUUCCAAAAUACUUUACAUAUCACAUCACAUAGUGCUUUAAACAUCAGUUAUCCCAUCGUGACUACAAAAGUCGGGAUUUACUACACCACUUGUACAAAAGUUUUAGAAUAAUACAUUAUACAGACAUACUAAGCACACAUACUAUAUUAAACACGCCUACACAACAGAACCUAUACUACCUAUUUACUAUGCCUUCUUUCUUGGACAACUUCUCGCCUGAUGAUCUUCCUUUCCACAGACAAAACAUGCUCCUGGUUUAUAGUAAGGACAAUACAGAGUAGUAUGUCCCUCAUAUCCACAAAGAUAACAAAUUCUUUUCCCUUUCUUCUUAUCAGGUUUUCCUAAAUCAUGGUCUUCUAUCUUUCUUUUCCACUUCUUGCUCGGAGCUGCACACGAAGUGUUGCUUGAGGCUCCCAUCAGAUCAAUUUGGAUUUUCAACUUAUCUUGUUCUUCCAUUGUUUCUAUUAAUGCCUGACGCAAUUGACUAUUAAGCAACUUUUCUAUCUCCCACAACCUUUCCAGAGAAGAAACUUUGUUCCUCAGAUUCUGCACCUCCAUUGAUGCUUGUUCAGCUUCAACUUUAGUGUCUGAAUCACUAUCUGUCAGCUCCACCAUUUCUGGAUCUGGUACUAUGUUUUCUACAAUGACCACCUCAUCCAAGUCGUUUUCAUUAUGAGCUUAUAUUUCAGCUAUUGGCUUUGAUAUCAGCUCGGGUGUAUGGGUUUGAUCCUUCUUCAUGCUAUAAGCAUACAACAAUCCUUUUCCACCAAACAUCUACACACAUAAAUUAUCCUGAUUAGUAUAUAGUAUAUACACACAACAAAUAGUAGUUUUGUAUAAGUUAUCUUUUAUUUUGUUUGACGAUGAAUUUAUUCAUUUCAUCUCUUUUUAAACUCUAUAUGAGUUAUUUAUAUUUUCAACGUUUCCCUCUGUUCUAAGGUUAUAGCCUAAGGUCUAACCCACCUAAGGUUUCUAACCCUAUAGCUCUGAUACCAUCCUGUAAAGACCCCCAAACCCGGAUACUUGAAACCCGAAUUCGGUGCUUCACGAUACCAUUUCUAUGAGCGGAAUAAUAAUAAUAAUAAUAAGAAUAAUAUAAAACUUAAACUUAAUUAUACAUCAGAGUCUAUUUUCCCAGGUACGAGACCUUUAGUCAUUCAUUAUGUAGGGACCCCCCAGAAUCCCCGCGGAUUCGGUACACUAAUCUUUCUAUAACUUUUUGCGGAAGAUAUAAAUAUAAGUUGUUUAUACAUUAAACUUUACACAUAUUUCCCCAAAAUCGAGUAACCUUAACUUUUACACAAUUCAUAGGCUAUCUAACAGAUAACAUAUUAUUCAACUAUACUAUUACAAACUAGCCGCACAUUUUAUCCCAAGCUGAACUUGGCAUUAACCUUUUCCUGUAACCGAACGCAUUCGCCUUAUCUGCAAUGUUUAUCAUGAUAUAGCAAGGGUGAGCAUGAAAGUUGCCCAGCAAGUUUAAAUACAAUUCAAGGAUAUAUCAUGAUUAAAGAGUAUGAAUAAUAAGCUGGCUAUAAUUCAUCAAUAUAAUUGAGAACUAGCACGAACAAACUUUUGACUGAACAAGUUUUAAACAUGAACAAACAUUUCUGGACCAACCGGUAAUGAAGGUGAUCUGCCUUUCAUACCUGACUUAUACAUGCAAGAUGUACAGAGUACAAUUUUCAUGACAAUCAGCAAUGAUUAACCAUAAGCUUGAAUAAAACACUCUUAUUAGAGUUAAGUAAGAACAAACUUGCCUGAUUCGUUGACUACUGCUUACGCAAUUUAUGUUAACUUCUUUUGUAAGACCUAUCAUUAAUAAGAUCGAUCCUCCAAUCAGCAUAUCAUACAUUGUAUCAUAAUACAAUUACUUAAUCCAUAAAUUAUCUAACACUUAAACAAAUAUUAGAUAACAUCUUAACGCAUCAGUAUUAUUAUCAUCAUUUGAUCUUCGAUCACUAUAUCAUAUUAUAAUUUAUCACUCACUUUUUCAUUUCAUAAGCUAUUCUUUAACAUCGAAUAAGUUAAAUACUAAUCCAGCAACCUGGAUUCUAAAUCUAGCAACCAAAUUUCCUAUCCAGUCGACUGGAUUCCAAAUCCAGCGACCUGGAUCCAACAUAUAACCAAUCCAACAACUUAAACUGCAAUCCAGCUAACUAGCUUACAAUCCAGCAAACUGUAUUCACCAAAUUUUUCCAAUCCAGCAAGCUAGAUUUCAUUGAAAAUACCAAACCAGUUUAUUAUUUUUCUAUCCUUUGUCCAAACACAUAUACAUAUAUUUUAUACACAAAAAUUAUUUUUCCAUAAUUUUCUAAUUUUGUUUGGUAUUUUUCAAAAAUUAAUUUUAGUGCGUAGCUUAAGAAAUUAGCUACCUCGUGCUUAACUCCAAACAUUCCCAUCUCUUGGCAUAACCUUAUAUAUGUUAACGUGACACUCCAGUUUAAAUUUCGUGGCAAUCGGAGUUGUAGAACUCCGUUUAUAGCGAUUUCCGUCGGAAAAUCACAAAAAUUGUAAUGGUCAUAACUUGGUCGUUUUAAGCCGGAAUUAGCUCAUUUUUGGACACAAGGUGCUUAAUACCAUAUAUUUUCAUGUCCCUAAAGACAGGAAUUUAUUUCACACUUUAAGUUGCCAAAACAGCCCUCGAAAAAAUCUGGGCAGCAACUUUUUGUCUUUUAGCAGUUUUGGAAUCCUUUACUAAAUCUUAAAUAAAAUGAGAUCUAUAACUCUGAUUAACGAUCCGUCAAUUUUUUUGGAUUCGUAUCUUUCCGAUCUACAAUUUUCAUCCAUCACAAUCCAUAUUUGGACAUGUUAAGCUCCCGGAAAUUAUCCCGGAAGUGGCUGCUCAAAACUGUCAUUCUAACAAUUUUCCUAUCUUUGAGUAGUUUGGGAUAAAUUACAUAACUUGCUCAUUAUUCAACCUAAUUGAGUGAUUCAAAAGGGGUUUUAUCCUUCACACAUAGAUCUAGCAUCCCAAGAACAUAGAUCACAAAUAUCCAUCAUAUAUUUCAAAAAACUCAAAACCUAGCUCACACUUUAAAAGUUCAAACUUUUCCGGAAAAAUUCCAUUUUUGUCUUCCUUUGAUUCCAACCAAAUUAACACCCAAUAUGGGUAGAUCCAAACAAUAAACACUCAUUAACAUGUAUAUACAUAGUUUUUGAGUUUAGAAACAAAUUUUCUUAUUUCAUCAAACAAGCAUCAACCACAAGAUUAAAUAAUAUCAAGACUAAGAAAAUUAGGAUUUUCUACACUUUGAAAACCUAGCUUCACUUUUAUUGCUUUUGAUCUAACUUCUAACACACAAGAUGGAUAGAUCCACACAUAAAACACUGUAAAUCAUGUAGAUCUAAGAUUUUUGAGUUUUGAAACCUUAGAACUUUAUUCCAUCAACAUAACUUAAAUCAAAGGAUAACUUAGGUUUGAUUUUAUACCUUUGAUUUCAUGCUAGUCUUUCUUCUUCUUCAUAGCUUGAUUAUGUAGCUUUGAUGUCUCACUAAAAACUCCCCUUUCUCUCCUCUAGUGGCUGCCGAACUCUAGGCUCUCUCUCUCUCUCCCUCUCUCUCUCUCUUUUGUUCUUGAAGAAUACCAAAAAGAAAGAUGAAAGAGAAAAAGUAAGAUAGAGUUUCAUUAGAUAUGGAUACAUCAAUUCUCCCUUUUCUCUCCU